CAUAAACAGUAAUUUGGUAAUCUUAGUAUUAAUAGUUAUGAUCUUUAAAUUAAAAGAAUUUGGCGGUAAUUUAGUCUGUUCAGAGGAAUCUGCCCUGUAAUCGAUGUUCCACGAUGAAUUUUACUUUACUUGGGCUUGUAUAUCUCUGUCAUUGAAUGUCUUAUUAGGGUAUUUUCUUGAAUCUUUAAUGUGUGUAAUGUCAGGUCAAGGUGCAGCAAUGGUAAAGAAGAGGUGGAUUACAUUAAAUGUAUUUAUGGAUAGUGAAUAUGGAAAUUUUCUUGAAAUUGGAUUUGAAAGUAAUUUCUAUUAGAAUAUAGAUUUGAUUUUAGCUCUAGAUUAUGC
rnacentral:rRNA from 1 species